AUCGCUUAUCGUAGAAGCUCGGAUGAAGAUCGAUUGCCGUAGAAGUCCGGAUGGAGACCGCUUAUCAUAGAAGCUCAGAUGAAGAUCGAUUGCCUUAGAGGUCUGGAUGGAGACCACUUAUCGUAGAAGCUCGGAUGAAGACCGAUUGCCAUAGAGGUCCGGAUGGAGACCGUUUAUCAUAGAAGCUCGGAUGAAGAUCGGUUGCCGUAGAAGUUC
rnacentral:lncRNA from 1 species